rnacentral:tRNA from 1 species
GCCAUCUUAGCUCAGUUGGUAGAGCGAUACUUUCGUAAAGUAGAGGUCCCGAGUUCGAAUCUCGGAGGUGGCUCCA